AGAAAGCUCAAUUCUGUGAAAGUGGGACAUGAAAGAUGGGAGAUGGGGAGGCGAAAAAGACAACAAGGGACAGGCAGAUGGAAAGGAUACUGCAGAGAAGACCAAGAAAGAGAAAUAGGAAGAAAAUGCAGAGUGGGUUGUCAUGGAAUCUUCAAGAAGGAAGCUCAUUGCCUGACCCACUUGUUUCAUAAUGCAAUGAAAUGCUAAAGAAUUUUAACUCCAUAAGGAAAAUCAGGGCAAGACAAUAAAAGAAACAUUAAAUAUUAGUAAAAGUACACUCAAUAGUAUGACUUCUGUCUUGUUCUUUAAAAUAGGUGCCUCUGUUCCUUAUGUUCUACUUGUGUUAAACUUUAAUAAGGGAAUACAAUUUUCAAAAGCAAGCAAUCAAAAAUCAUGGUUAAAUGGAACAACUGGAGCAGUGA
rnacentral:lncRNA from 1 species